rnacentral:rRNA from 1 species
GACGAACCGUGCAAACGUUGUUCGGAUUCACUGGGCUUAAAGGGCGCGUAGGCGGCAGACCAAGUCAGGGGUGAAAUCGUUCGGCUCAACCGGACAAGUGCUUCUGAUACUGGUCCGCUGGAGAGAGGUAGGGGCAGGUGGAACUUCCGGUGGAGCGGUGAAAUGCGUAGAUAUCGGAAGGAACGCCGGUGGCGAAAGCGACCUGCUGGACCUCUGCUGACGCUGAGGCGCGAAAGCCAGGGGAGCAAACGGG